ACAAAAUGUAAUUGUAAAUAUUUUAAUGUUUCUGUGGUUUGAUUUAAUUCUGCAUAGGGUAGGUAUAUCUCAUGAUGCGUACUAACAUUUUAUUUGCCUAUUUAUGUUAUUUUAAUCAACUUUAACGUUUCAAAUACCUGGGUAUUUAGUUAUUAGCUUGUUUGUUGUUGGUAUAUAGCUGUUUGAAAGCAGAAUGCUAAAAAGAGAGACUACAGUUAUUGAUUUCUGUUACAAUUGAAUUAUUGUUUUUAUGAUUGCAAUGCACGGGGUUAGCAUAUUAUAGAUUGAGAAUUUAAGUAAUCUUGUAUUAGUUUGACAGACUUGAAGAAUGUAGUUAGUUUAUAUUAAUGUUAUUAUUAUUAUGUUUUAUAAUUGUUUUUGUUGAUGUUAUUGAUUGAUAUAGAUAUAGGUAGAAGAUUGAAUAAUGAGUGGAAUAAGCUUGGUGAUAUCAAAACCUUGGUGUAGGGUGUAUAAUCCUUGUACAGGUGAAAAUAAUAAGAGUAAUUUUGGUACAAGCAAUAAGAUCCAUUUUGGUACAAAACCAAACAAUAAGAUGGACUUAAUCCCAUGUCAUUUAUCAAAUUCAAACUUAAGAAUUUCUUCUCCUGUUGCAACCAAUCACAUGUUGAAACAUCGUGUGUAUUCAUCAUCAUCAUCAUCAUCAUCAUAUGCACGUAAAGAUGUAACCGAUUCAACAUCUCAACCACCUUAUGGCUUGUAUGGCCUUGUUGCUAUUAUUGGUUAGGCUUUGCCUAAAGCCUGGGAGGCCGCUAUGCAUUUUAUUUCUGCUACGGAAGGUAGGUAACUUUAUCUGCCUUGCCUUGUCCCCCCUUUUUUUAAUGAUAUAAUAUACUGAGAAAUACGACUACAAAAUUUCUCAUAAUCUGUAUUUAUUUUUUUUCAGGAGUUUUGAAAUCAAAUGCGUGUUACUAUAUCUUUCUAGGGGUUGCAGCUGUUUUUGUAGCUAGAAGCUUUCUUGGCAAUAUCAUGCGUGGGUUUGCAUUACUACGUAACAAACCCUUUUCAAUUGGAGAUAUGAUAGAAGUACGUAAAUAAGCUUUCUGAUAUAUUUUAUCUUUCGUAUGAGUAUGAAUUUGUUCUUAUUUCGAGUGUUUUUUUUGCAGGUUGGACAUUUGAAAGGUGAGGUUAUUGAUAUGGGACUCAUAACGACCUCAUUGCUUACUGAGGAAAACCGUCGUGCAUUACUUCCUACUUCCUGGCUUAGUGGACAGGUCUUUCAUCGUUACCCUUGAAAGUUAUUAUGUCAUUAUAAAGUCUUUUUGUUGGUUAAGUACAAAUUUUGGGUUCAUAUUCUUUGUUUAUCGAGUUUUAUAUUACUACCCUUGUGAUAAAGUUUUUUGCCCUCUUUUAUAGGAUUAUGUGAACAUAACUGGGUCUCCAGCGCAUGCGAUGGUUUUCAAGAUUGAUUUGAGCAUUGAUGAGAUUGAGAAGAUCCCCGAGAUAUCAGAGGAAAUAAUAAACAUGAUGAAGUCUAACUCAAUCAUUUACUUGGAGCAAGAGCAGCCGUAUUGUUAUCUUUCUCAAGUGGACCCUCUUGGUUUCACACUUACUAUUGGAUGCAAACUAAAAGAGGGGGUACGUAUAGCAUACUUCCUCAAACAUUUCAAAUCAUAAUUUGCCUCCAUUACCAAAUAAUAUUUUUUUUAUCAAGACAUUAUAUUUCGUAAAUCUACCUAAUAAUAGCAUUAAACUUUCAACUUUUUUUAUGUUAUAUAUAAGUCUUUGUAAAUAGAUAAUAUAGAUAUAGUAAGGAUGAUUUUUCAAAGGAAGAAAUGAAAGUAGGAUGCUAGAAUAUACAAAUAAGUAGAAAGUAAGAUGGUAGAUGUUGAAUUUCUAGAAUUCAUCUAAAAUUUUCUUAUGCCUAUUUUAUAUUAUGCAGUGUGAAGACGAGUUUUAUUCAGCUAAGUAUGAUAUCUUUAGGCAGGCGAUUCAGAUAAUGAAGAAGCAUGGGGCCUACCUAGAUAUGAACUAGAUUUUCUUUCUUUCGAGUAAUCGCAAAACCUUAACAGAAACCUUUUAUGUACAUUGCUUUUGGUUUAGCUUGUUGAUAGAAAAAUGAGAAGAAGGCAAUUCUUCUGCUUUAUUGAAUUAAAACAUCCAAUCGUCGAUAUAAAUACAAAUCCAAGAGAAGAAGGCAAUGGAAGGUCAUAAGACGUUACUAGGUAAGACAUUUUGAAGGCAAAAGAAUCAACUACAAUUAUAAUCAAGAUGGCAUAGUUAUAAAUCAAACAUAAAAUAUGGGUGCUUUUGGAAGAAACAUGAAUGCAAAUAAUUCUUCUAUUACUAUUGGUAUUUAAUUGAACAUGGAGAUCAAGAAUUCUUCUAUUACUAUGUGAAGUUCAUGUAUAUUCAAGGAAUGAAAAUCAAACAUGAAUGGAAAACAAUACCAGUUCAAAACAUGCUGACAUUUGGGAUUGCUUUUUUCCUAGGUUUUCCAUGGUAUCGGAACCAAAUAACUUAAUAUCAUUUUCUCCAAAAUCAUAGAACUAGUGUCGGACCAUAUAUGCUUAAUCGGUACCGGUUAAGCUUCCAUUCUGAUAUGAGGCCAGUUUGAGAUCGUGUAUCAUAUCAAUCCUAUGUGCCCGCAUCUGUGACUGAAAGCAUUUGGUUUUCAACUUAUGCUAACAAGAUGACAAGACUCUAGAGCAUCUUAAUUGGGUUUUAAAUAUAAACUUAAAUAACCUUUGUAAAUUGUCAUAUUGCAAUGUUAUGUGUGCAUGUUUCAUUUUUCUAUAUUUUAAAUUAAAUUAUCAUAUUAUUGGGCUACAAACUAUUGUACAAGAUACUGAUUAUAUCCAAGAUCUUUGUCUUGCCCGGGAUGUUAGUUCGAGUUUUAAGAUAUAAAUGGUAAGGUGAAAACUCUACCCAUAACAAUUACCCCCAUAAAUCUUCAAUCCGGGAUCUAGGGAGUUAGAAAUUUCUAGAUUUAGAAAGUGGAUUACGCUAAUGUGAUGUGACCUAUUUUUCUGGGAUCAAUCUUACCUGUCAAUUAUCUUUGGAAGUUUGGGUUUUGAAUGGUUGAGAUUCGCAUGUAUAAACCCACAGAGAAUUCAUUCAAACUUUAAUCAGCUCACAUUCUUCAAGGUCACCACCGGCUAUUUUACACAAAAAAAAUGUUUUUUAUGCAAUUCCAUUGAAUAAAAUUGUCUUUUCUUAACCCAAACCAAAACUUUUGUUCCAUUCCGUUGAAUAAAAUUGUGAUUUCGUGAUUGUGAUCACUUCUAUUGAAACCACAUAUGUUUUAUCUUGCUAACUGUGUUGACACUACUAGAAAACAUGGGGUUUUCCUAUGGAAAAUGGCUACAGAAUCGCUACGGAUCAGCUACAGAAUGGGAUGCCCUAAUUUAGUAACGGAAUAGCUACAGAUGCUAAUCCGUAGCUAAUUAGCUACGGAAUGGCUACGGGAUACCUACAGAUACUAUUUACCUACAGAUUAGCUACGGAGUAUGUUUUCCGUUAGAAUUCCGUAGCUAAUCCGUAGCUAAGUAGCUACGGAUUUUCCUUAUUUUCGAUUUUUCGGGCACCAAACGUCGUUGUUUUCACUUCGUUUUUUUACACCUCUAUUAUAUAUGAUUAUCUAUAUUUUCACCAACCUAUAGCUAUUAAUAUCGUUCAUAAAGUUGUGUGCCCCUUCGGGAUCAAGUACUCGUUUCACAGUUUAACAUUGUAAUACCAAUACUUUUCACCAACUUGUGAUGGAUUAUGUUUGUAUAUGUAUAUUUAUAUACAUGAAUGAGUUGUGGUAUGUGUACGUGUAUAUGUGUAUGUAUACGUGUUUGUGAGAUGUAUGUGAACAUAUUCAUAAACAUUAUAGUGCUAAACCACUAAACGAGCAAUGGAUCCCGUAUGUGCACACGACUUUAUAAAUGAUAUUAAUAGCUAUAAACAGGUGAAAAUAUAAAUAAUCAUAUAUAAUAGAGGUGUGAAAUAAUGGAACGAAAAAAGCGACGUCUGGUGCCCGAAAAAUAAAAAAUAAGAAAAACCCGUAGCUAAUUAGCUACAGAAUUCUAACGGAAAGCAUAUUCCGUAGCUAAUCCGUAGGUAAUUACCUACGGAUUAGCUAUGGAAUAUGCUUUCCGUUAAAAUUUCGUAGCUAUUCCGUAGCUAAUUAGCUACGGAUUUGCUACGGGUUUUUCUUAUUUUUGAUUUUUCGGGCACCAUACGUCAUUUUUUUCGCUCCGUUUUUUUCACACCUCAAUUAUAUAUAAUUAUCUAUAUUUUCACCAAUUUAUAGCAAUUAAUAUUAUUUAUAAAGUCGUGUGCACAUACGUGAUCCAUUACUCGUUUGGUGGUUUCACACUAUAAUGCUUAUGAAUACGUUCACAUACAUCUCACAAACUCAUAUACAUUAUCAUCAUCAUCACCAUCAUCACCACCAUCAUCAUCAUCAUCAUCAUCAUCACCAUCACCACCACCAUCAUUAUCAUCAUGAUCAUCAUCAUCAUCAUCACCGCAACCACCACCACCAUCACCAUCACCAUCACCAUCACCACCACUACCAUCAACAUCACCAUCACCAUCACCAUCACCAACACCAUCACACCAUCACACCAUCACCAUCACCAUCACCACCANNNNNNNNNNNNNNNNNNNNNNNNNNNNNNNNNNNNNNNNNNNNNNNNNNNNNNNNNNNNNNNNNNNNNNNNNNNNNNNNNNNNNNNNNNNNNNNNNNNNNNNNNNNNNNNNNNNNNNNNNNNNNNNNNNNNNNNNNNNNNNNNNNNNNNNNNNNNNNNNNNNNNNNNNNNNNNNNNNNNNNNNNNNNNNNCACCAUCACCACCGCCACCGCAUCACCAUCACCAUCACCAUCAUCAUCUUGUUGAUGUGUUAAACGUAUUUUUUUUCGUUUAAUCGUUUGUUUGUGUGUUCAACACAUUCGUUACAAUUAUCAUAUAUUAUUAUGAUUUUUAUUAGUAUUAUUAUUAUUAUCACUAUUAGUAUGGUUGUUAAUGAAAAAUUAUAAUAUUGGGAGUAAUAAUAAUAAUAAUAAUAAUAAUAAUAAUAAUAAUGAAAUAAUAAUAAUAAUAAUAAUGAAAUAAUAAUAAUAAUGAAAUAAUAAUAACAAUACCAAUAAUAAUAAUAAUAAUAAUAAUAAUAGUAGUAAUAAUAAUAAUAAUAAUAAUAAUAAAGGAAAUGAAAGGAAGUUGACAUUGUAUAAAAAUGUUUAUGGAGGUCUUACAUAUGGAUGUGGCAUGCCCAGCUUAGUGGUAAGAUGAAAAACAUAUAUGCCGCUUAACUCAGUUUGAAUCCUGCCGAUUUUUUUGAUAAUUUUUUUUUGGUCCCGUCGCGGUUCCGUAGGAAUUCCCCAAAUUAGUCGCUUCGUUCCCUCAAAUAUUUGGCUAGUUUUGCUCUCCUGCUUAAUUAUGUCCCGGCUCCCAUCUCUCACACCUUUUCCCUUUCUCCCCUUCCACUCCAUUCUAGGGUUUAAAGCUGGAGCGUAUCUCACGUCGACCUUCGAAUGCCUCUGCUCAUCUUCUUCAUAUUUCACGUUGACGAUCGGCUUUCUCCUUGCGGCCACCGGUGCCGCCAGCGCUUGAUCACAACCUUCCGCCACUGUCGCUGUUCUUCAGCCCUGCCCCUCCUCCAGCGCCGCCUUCCUCCAACUCUUGUAAGCUCUGUGUACUUUGACUGAAACUAAACUAUCUCAUCUCUCUUGGUCCGAUUUCUAUUCCUUAAUCCUUAUUCUUGAUUUCUCAUCCUAAAUCUCUCUCGUAUUCUCAUCUAUUGUAAAUCUACUGCAAUCGAUCAAGUUCGAUUAGAUUUGUCGGUACCACUGUGCUUGUGCUUGAUUGAUUCAAUUUUUUCUGCCCAAAGCAAGAGGAAAACCGAAAACGGAAGAAAGGAGUAAGGUCUGUGGUGGUUGGCAGGGUCGGCCCAAUACCUGGGCAAGAUGGGCUAAGGCCCAGGGCAGCAAAUAUCAGGGCAUCAGUUUACUACAGCAAGUAGUUGUAUAUGUAUUAGUUUGGCCCAAAAUCUUUAGCCUAUUACACUGAUUUUAUGACACAGACGCGAGAUGACACCGGAGGCAAAGACAAGCGCAAAGCGUGGGCGCGAAAAUUAUUGAAUCUACCAAAUAGAGAUGUAAUCGGCAUUUUUGAUUGGCUGAUUGCCAAUCGACGCCUAGGACACGAGCAAUGUAGAAGAUCGAAGAGUCCACUGCCAUCUCUAAAUAGACCUAAUCCCAAUUUCUAAAUCUGAUUUCAAUUUUAUGAUUUCUCAUAUUCUCCUAUUUAUGGUUCCCGAUUGCGAUUCUUUGUGAGUUGAAGANUGGGGUUUUUUGGGGGGGGGGGGGGGGGGGGGGGGGUUGUGGCCCCCCUGAUAUUUUUGGCAUUAAUAGUCCUUGUGCUUUAACUUUAUACAUAUUUAGUCCAAAAAUAUAAAAUUUUGACUAUGCCCCCUGUUCACAAAUUUUUAUACAAAUUAUCCCCAAAAAAAAUGAAAUAUUGAAGCUCCGCCACUGUUGUGAGUUGAAGAAAAACUAAGAUUGUCAAUUUUCUAAUUGUUGUUUCAAAUUUUGAAUUCUCAUAUUCAAAUCAAAAAAUAAUGUAUUAUUGCUUGUUUUGCAAGAUGUCAUCGAAUUAGUUGGGUAUAAAAAGCUAAAAACCUUUUUUGAUUUGUUGAUCUAAUUCUAAGAUGUCAUGCUCUUGUUUUGUCUCUCAAUAGGAAGUAGAAGUUGAACCAGGAAGCACUCAAGUGUAUGACUUGAGGACCUCAAAUUGUACUUGGAAAUGGGAGAUCGGAAAUUUUGUCUCAGCAUAGCCUUUGAAUCCCUCUCCUCUUAAUAAUUGGUAUUUGCUAAUUAGGGUCAAUUUGUUUUUGUUUAGUGGAUUAAUUUUGCUCUUGUUUUCUUGUUGUAGGAAGUAUUUGAAUUAGUUGUAAUCUUCCUAUUCAGUUAUUUGAACAUGGAGACCAAGAAUUCUUCUAUUACUAUGUGAAGUUCAUGUAUAUUUAAGGAAUGAAAAUCAAACAUGAAUGGAAAACAAUACCAAUUCAAAACAUGCUGACAUUUGGGAUUGCUUUUUUCCUGGGUUUUCCAUGGUAUCGGAAGCAAAUAACUUAAUAUCAUUUUCUCCAAAAUCAUAGAACUAGUGUCGGACCAUAUAUGCUUAAUCGGUACCGGUUAAGCUUCGAUUCUGAUAUGAGGCCAGUUUGGGAUCGUGUAUCAUAUCAAUCCUAUGUGCCUGCAUCCGUGACUGAAAGCAUUUGGUUGUCAACUUAUGCUAACAAGAUGACAAGACUCUAGAGCAUCUUAAUUGGGUUUUAAAUAUAAACUUAAAUAACCUUCGUAAAUUGUGUCAUAUUGCAAUGUUAUGUGUGCAUGUUUCAUUUUUCUAUAUUUUAAAUUAAAUUAUCAUAUUAUUGGGCUACAAACUAUUGUACAAGAUACUGAUUAUAUCCAAGAUCUUUGUCUUGCCCGGGAUGUUAGUUCGAGUUUUAAGAUAUAAAUGGUAAGGUGAAAACUCUACCCAUAACAAUUACCCCCAUAAAUCUUCAAUCCGGGAUCUAGGGAAUUAUAAAUUUCUAGAUUUAGAAAGUGGAUUUCACCGAUGUGAUGUGGUGUGAUCUAGGGAGUUAGAAAUUUCUAGAUUUAGAAAGUGGAUUCCAUUGAAUAAAAUUGUCAUUUUUUAGCCCAAACCAAAACUUUUGUUCCAUUCCAUUGAAUAAAAUUGUGAUUUCGUGAUUGUGAUCACUUCUAUUGAAACCACAUGUUUUAUCUUGUUAACUGUGUUGAAGACUUGAAGUACUGUAUGAUUAACUGUCUAAUUGCUCAAUCAUUUUAUAUUCUAACUAUGAUUGCGUUGAACUAUGAUAAAAUUCUAAUUAUUUCUUAUGUUUUCUUGUUAAUUGUGUUAAAGUACGAUUAUUUGUGACUUUAGUAACCGGCCUGUAAAUUAUGAUUAACUAAUUAUCAUAUGUGAAAUAUGAUUUACUAAUUAACUGGAUUUGAUUGAACGUUGAUUGACUAAUUAUGAUAUGUGAAAUAUGAUUUACUAAUUAACUGGAUUUGAUUGAACGUUAAAGUAUGAUUAAUUGAUUAAUACACUAAUAUAUAUAAAUUCUACAUAAUAUAAAAAACGUUAUACCACUGCUAUACAACCGUAAGAACUGUGAUUUCAAAUAGCGGCCGAUGACCGCUAUUAUAUUUUUGACUGCGAUAACUACAUAUGUGAGAUAUGUAUCUUUUCUAAUGCAAAUAGUGAUUCACUUUGAUCAUCAGGCAAGUUUCCACAAGGUACUAUCUUUAGGGUUCAUGGGUCAACUUUUAGAGCAAACUAUCUUUCUUCGUCUUGGGGUUUGUUGUGGGUAAAAAUUUUGACUCAUUACUUUUAUAUCUUAAAUGUGUACUAACAUACCAGGAAAACCCAAGAUCUUGGAUUUAUUUAUUAGCUUGGUCUGCCACCGUAUUUUCUGUGAAAACUUAUGCAGGAACUUAAGGCUUGUUGAAAAGAGAAUAGACUAAGUCAAAUACAUGUGGUCAAUGCCUCAUGAACGUUGAAUACUCUUGAUGUAACGCUUGGUCCAUGUAUUAUUCAUUUCUCAACAUUUUUAAGGAUUUGGGCUAGAACUUGACGAGUUGGGGAGCUCCAACUCGUCGUGUAGGAAUCUUCUUGGCCGCGGAGUUUAAGGAUCCAACUCGACAUGUUUGGGAGCCCCAACUCGACGAGUUGAUGGCCAAAGAUGAAACCUUAAUUGUAGGGUUUUUCACCUUAUAUAAAGGACUUAACUCUCUUGGUUGGCCUCCCUACCAGCCUCCUUGUCUAGAGAAACCCCAGAUUCGUAUUCCAUCUUGCAUCUUGAGUGUGGUGAGCUUAAAAGAGUGGUUUUGCUGAUUCUUUAGAAGGAGCUUGAAGCUAGGAGCAAUUGGGUUGGAAGAAUUAGUGUAGAUCCAAAAUCUCUUCUUUAGAAUUAGUCUCUUUGAGGUAUAAUUCGACACCUUGCCUUAUAUCCAUCCAGAUCCCUUUUCCUAAAGGUUAGCUGGAGUUUUGGGACAUUGGAUGAGUUGUCCAAAAUAAAGAGGUUUCCAGGGGUUGAUGGAGUAGAUCUGACCCUUAAAUGACCUCUUGAGGCUUAAAGUUGCAAACUUUAAUGACCUCCAUGUCCCAUGCUUUCCAUAGGUUCAUUAUGAAGCCUAAAAUGGAUCUUAGAGAGUGUUUCAAGCAUGCAUGGACGUAAAGUUAGAAACUUUAUGUGAUUUGUCCACCUUUGGACAUCAUAUCUGUGUUUUGGGACGUUAGAGUGAGAGUUUAAGGGCUUAAUGGGUCAAGACCUUCCUUAAAGGAAUUAGGGUUUGAGUUUGAAGCCUUAUGGAUGAUCCUUGGGGGUAAAGUUGGAAACUUUACCCUUUUAAGACAUCAUAAUGGAAGGGAUCUGAGGUUUGGAGCCUUUGGAUUCAAGAAAAAUGGCUUAAUGCAUUAAUUGGUUUGGCAGAUUGGAGAAAUCGACGAGUUCAUAGGUGAACUCGACGAGUUGGGUUGAGGUUGCCCGAUUCUGUUAAAAAACGGAAGGAACUCGACAAGUUCUAGGAAAACUAUACGAGUAGGAUCGCAAUAUCGUGAUUUUGGCUUUGGGGUGGACUCGACGAGUUAAAGGGUAACUCGACGAGUUGGGUCAAAUUGGAGCGUUGACUUUGACUUUGACUUUGAAUUUGACCAAGGUUGACUUUUAAGGGUUGAAUUGAAUCUAAGUAGUUGUUUAUGUUUAGGGAUUUGACAGAGUUGAUACUCGGAGCUUGGACCUAUUCAGCUACAUUUCACAUUUGAGGUGAGUCUCUUCACCAUACCAAUGGGUCGAAGGCACCAAUACCGACCCAUGUUAUUAGCGAUAGUGGUUAUUUGCGAAUGUGCUAUCAAUGUGUUAUUUAUUUGUAUGAAGACCAUGUGAGGGUUCCCAUGGCAGUGGGCUAAGACCAUGUGGGGGUUCUUAUGGCACCCAGUGUAAGACCUUGGAGGGUUUCCAUGACAUCCUUAUAUGUUUGCAUGUAUGGCUUGUAUGACAUUUAUUUUGAUUAGUUAAGACCAUGUUGGGGUUCCCAUGGCAAUUAGUUAAAACCAUGUGGGAAUUCUGUAACAUCCCAAAAAUCAUGACAAAAAUUUUCAUUUUUGAUUUACUAAUUAUAAAACUAUUUGUUUGAAAACAACCAUAGUAACAACUUAUAAUAAAAUCAAGUAUCCAUAAUCAAAACAUGUCAUGAUAAAACAAUGUCAGAGUAUAAAUCCCAAGGAACAUAAGUGCGGAAAUCCUGGUGUGAUGUGCUGCAGUCAAGUCGGCUCUUUUCCUUUCGAAUAAGAAGUACCUGAAACCAAAACUGAAAAUCGUAAGCAUGAAGCUUAGUGAGUUCCCCCAUCAUACCAUAUACCAUACAAUCACAUACUGUUAGGCAUACCGGGGUGCCCGACUUACCCUAUGCUAGGCAUAUUUAGGUGCCUGACCUACCCUUCUGAGCAUACCGGGGUGCUCAACCUACCCCACUAUCAAGCAUACCAGGGUGGUCGACCUACCCCAUGUCAGGCAUAUAUGGGUGCCCGACCUACCCUUUAGUAUAUCUCAAUCGGUUUCGGGGACUAUUUCAACCCUACCACUACUACAUACUAACAAAUCAAAAACAUAAUCAUACUGUCAGACAUAUCGGGGUGUCCGACCUACCCCUUGGUCCUAUCGACCAGAUAAAUAAUACCAUAUCAUGUUAAACACAUAAUACAUAACAGAUAGUGGCAAACCGGACAAUUAUCACAAAGACAAUCAUCCACAAACAACUCCUACCAGUGGGCCGACAUUGUGGCCUUAAACCCACUUCUAUUGGAAGGUAACUCACCUCAAUGCCGCGUUGUUGUUGAACCUUCCUUGGUACUGGGAUCAACUCCUCACAAACCCCCUACACAUAACAAUUUCUUUUAGUUACCCUUCCAUACUCAUAACCCUUUUAAGGGUCAACUCAGGUCAAAGUCCAAGUCAAAGUCAACUCUCUGGUUAAAGUCAAUAUUCUGGUCAAAGUCAACAUUCUGGGUUGACUCAACUCUCCGAGUUGGUCCAUCAACUCGUCGAGUUUCAUAUAUCAGAAAACGCUGAAAUCGCGAUCCAACUCGACGAGUUCUUCCAUAACUCGUCGAGUUCCUCCUAUCAACAGCAUCAAUAAUUUUCCAUUCAGCUCGUUGAGUCCUUCCUUGAACUCGUCGAGUCCUUCCUUUACAUAAUCGGGACAUUUUGCUCACAACUCGCCGAGUUUCUCAUUGAACUCGUCGAGUUCUUCAAUCUACAAGCCCAAAAGCCAUGUCUAACUCGCUGAGUCAUCUCCUAGACUCAACGACUUUACUUCGUAAUAGAAAAGGUUAGGGGACCAUGCCCCAACUCGCCGAGCCGUAUGAACAACUCAUCGAGUCCCCCAUAUACCAAAUCCAUAUAGUCGAUUUUAGUUAGGUUCAAUGCAUCCAAAACAUAGAUAUGGUUCCCUAGGGUCGAUAUAUCACGUAAAGUUUCUAACUUUACGUUCAUGCAUGGAUUAUUUAGCUGAAAAGGCUUUAAAAAGUGGUUAACAAGAUGCAUGGGACUCCCAUGGCCAUAAAGUUUGCAUCUUUAUGCCAUGGAGUCCCUCAAAGGCUCUGGAUCUGAAGUUACAACUUCAUGAUACACUCAAUCUCAAAAAUGACUUCAAUAUGGUUUAAAAAGGGUAAAAUCCAACCCUAAAGGAGAUCUAAGCAAUAAAAAGCCAAGGUAUAAGCUUUAUACCUCAAAUGAGCCCAAAAUGCAGCUUGAACUCUAGAUCGACUGACUUUCUCUUGAACCUCCAAGCUUUCCUUCCUUCUUCAAGCUUCAAAAUCACAAAGAAUUGCACCAAAUGGCUCAAAACACUCAAAAGUUGAUUAGGGUUUCGUGGAUAGGGUUUGGGACAAAGGAGACUGAAGGUGAGGCCAAGUUAUGGGAGUUAAGGAGGUUAAAUCGGGUACCAAGCCCUAAAAAUUAGGAUUUCAUUUUGGCAGUCCUACUCGUCGAGUUGAGGCUCCCUAACUCGUCGUCUGGACUUCGCCACUCGCAUCCAAUACCAUUCCUACUUGACGAGUUUGGGGCCUCCAACUCGUCGAGUCCCUUCACAAAAAUGAAUAAAUUUUUAGUUAAAUACAUACCAGGAAUUGGGCGUUACAGGUUCACAUGACAGGUAGUAAAAACCAUGUGGGGGUUCCCUCGACAGUGGGCUAAGACCAUAUGGGGGUUCCUAUGGCACUUGGUGUAAGACCUUGGAGGGUUUCCCUGACAUCCUCAUAUGUUUGUAUGCAUGGCUUAUGUGGCUUAUUUGGAUUAUGUGAUUAUGUGGAUUACGUGUGGUAUGUUAUGGGGAACUCACUAAGCAUUAGCUUACAGUUUGCCAGUUGUUUCAGGUACUUCGGGAUCUAAGGGCAAGGGCCUAGCGUGAUGGCGCGACAUGCACUCCCCGACAUUUUAAUAUGGAUACUCGAAUAUUUUGAAUAACUUAUUUGAUGAUUUGGAUUUUUGGGAACAAUUUGUGAUUGGAAUUUUAUAAUUCAUGAAUAUGAGUUGUUAAUUAAAUGAAUAAUUUUAUUGGAAAAAUUGGGUUAUUACAAGUUGGUAUCAAAGCCUUGGUUUGAGGGAUUAGGACACACUCUCGGGUGUGUCAGACCUCAAACUGAGGAAAUGGUAAAAUUGUUUUUCAAAAAUCAAAAGUUAAAAACUUCUUAAAACCGAUUUCUUGAAAGAACAAGGGAAAGUGCAAUGCGUGUAAUCAACCGAUCUCAAGUAAGUGUUUCCCAAAUAUGUUAGCCAUGCUAUAUUGAUAUUUGGAAUGUGAUAAUCGGAUGGAUUUUGCUAUGUGUAUGCUUUAAAAAUUGUAUAUGGUUAGGAUCUUAUAGCCUUAGAAUAAUUGAUCUAGCCUUACUUCUUGUUCCUUGUCUAGUUGUGGUCCUAGGGUAGAGUCUUUUAUUCGACAAUCUAUUUGAUCCUAUUCUGUGUAUAAUUUGCAUGCAUAGAGCAACCUAUUAUGAUUGAAUUGAGUUCUGGUUGAUGAGAAUUGAGGAAAUCUUAGGGUAGCCUAGGGUUUGAGUUAUGUAGCAUUCUAAGGUCAUGUUUUGUGUUAGGGCGAAUUUGAAUUUUAUGUAGAGCCUCGGGAAAGGUGUAGGUCGGUGUGGAAGGUAGUAUUGGGCCCAUACUACUGAAAGCACAAGACCUGUACCCGAAGUAAUGUUAAACCUGAAAGCUCUAAGGAGACUAGUGAUGACGAGGGGGGUUCCCUUUCGGAUAUAUUUAUCAUUUUGUUUUGUGGUAUUUUCAGUGGAAGAUGGUGAUGAUCACUCAAGGUUCAGGAUCAGGAUCAGGAUCUGGGUUGGGCUCCGGUGCAGAGCCCAUUGAUGAGAGGUUGUGCGAUCUUAUUGCAUCCGAGGUGACUCGUGGCAUUCUUGACGCUACCACAGUGCUUUUCAGGACCGUCAAGGAGGGUAUGAUGGAGAUCAUGGAGGAGCAGCUCAGGUCUUUUCGAGCCGAGAUUGCCGCAAGCCAGGUUGGGGCCCGAACUCCCUCGUUCCAGGAGUUCAUGGCGUGUGUGGCGCCCGAGGUCUUUAGGAUCAAAGACCCCAUCACGAGUCGACAUUGGGUGGAAAACAUGGAGAAUGCCCAGCGCACGAGCCUUUACCCCGAGGCGGUAAAGGUUGGGUUCACAUCUUGUAUGUUGAGGGACUGAGCCAGGGAUUGGUGGGAUGAGGUUACCCGCGAGGUGGGGGAAGCGGGUGUGGCUGAGAUGACCUGGCAGGAGUUUGUGAGGAGAUUUGAUCAGGAGUUUGCAUCGUCUAUCGAGGUGCAACAGUUGGUGAGGGAAUUCCAGGAUUUACGCUCUAGUAACUACAUAUAGAGCAUAAUGUGCAAUUUCAUUAAUUAACAUACUUUUCAUAUUUUUUUCUAAAGUAACUAACACUGGGAUUUAAAAAUAGUUUAAUUACUUUAUAUCAUUAUACUUAUUAAUGAGAUUAUGUCUUAUCAAACCUGUUCGGAUAACGACCUUCCACCACACAGGAGGGCGGUGGGUAAGAGUAGACACCCAUUCAAUGGCCAUUAUAUAGGCUACUUCCCUAUACCCUCUUUAUAUCAUGGUUUCGUGAAUGAGGCCUACUAUUGAUUUGCGUAACUUUUCUUAUACAUAUAAUAAAUUAAACUUUUAAUAGAACACAUAUAAGGUGUAUUUUAACUUUCGAAAAUACAAGGUUUAAUCUUUUAAUUAUCUAAAUUAAAACUUUUUAAUUUAAUUAAAUUUAAACCAUUUAUGGAUUUUAUAAUUAUCCUUUAAUUAAAACAUUUAAUCAAAUUAAUAACAAGAUCCAUAAGGAUAAUCUUAGUUAAUCAUAUAAUUAAUCUUUAUCAAGUUUAAUGAUAUCUCAUAAUAUUUAGGGUUUCAAUUAAUUAUCUAAAAUCGGCAAAAAUCGGAUUUUUAGCAGAUAUAUAUGCAAAUAGAUAAUUACCAAUUACCAACCACAUAAAUCAAAUUAGUCAAGAUAAUCCAAAAAUUCGGAUCUGACUAUGCUCACGUCAUGAAAGAAGCAUGUCAUGUCGUGAGCAACGAUUUUCCUAAAAAAGUUUUGUUCAUUCAACAAAUGUACGAUUAAUGCAAGGCACACCAAUAGCCCUGCACUGAUAGGUUUUAUAGGUUACAACAGCAAUGCAUAAAGCGGAAAAUACUUAACAAUUUAAAAUUUAGGCACAUGCAACCUAAAUGAUCUAUGUCUUUCACAUAAAGGAAACAUACUUUUGAAUUUGAACAGACUACCAUAAACCUAAGAAAUCGAUGUUCCUAAGGGAAGAAACCUACCUUUUUGAUUUGUUGUAGAAAAAUAAAUCAAACCAAUCUUCAAAAGAACUAUUGGAAGCUAACACCAGAAAUCUCGUGUCUCUGAUGGUUCACACGUAACCUUAGUAACUAGGAUACUUGAAGAGAGAGAAGAGGGGAUGGUAAAUUUCAAAAUUCUCUUCUAAGGGAUGUGAUAGCUGAAAAUAUGAGGAGCCAUAGGGGUUUAUAUAGGUAUAUAAGGAGCUUAGGAUAAUGCGUGUUUCCUUGGAUAACCCUUAUCCCCUUUACUUGCUCCCAAAGACUUCCAAGAACCCUUUGGAAUCUCUACCAAAACUGUCCCCUCUAUGGGAAGGUUUUGGAAUUCCUCAAUGCUAAACUUUUGAACAUUGUCACCUUUAGUCCCUAUACUUUUAAUUAAUCUAAUUAAUCCUAAAAUUAAUUUUAGUUCAUUUUUGAUUAAUUAUAUGUAAAUAAUUAUAUUUCUAAUUAAUAUAUUAUUCUCAUAAUAUAUUAAUAAAUCAUUGAUUUUGAUUUCUAAUUAGUUUAUUAAUCAUAUAAUAAAUUAAUUAAUCAGUCUCUCUCUCUCUCUCUUCCUCUCUCUCUCUCUAAAAGUCAUUCUAUCCAAUUACUAGGUUGAGGGCAACCCAAAAGGACUUUGCUUUCAAUUCAAGUACACCAAUUUAGUCAUUACUUAGACAUCUAAUCCAAUAAAGGGUUGGAGGCUAAAAAGGAUGCCCUAAUCCUUGAGAUUAGGUUCUUAAAUAUGGAAUAAACCCUAAAAAUCAUGGGCCUGGGCUGCAGCCGCUGCCAUGUCGUGACCUUCCACUUGACAUGUUGUGGUGGCCAUCCAGAUACGCGUUUCAUGCAUUUGGAAUUCCAAGUCGUGGUACCUCAUUCACAUCGUCAUGGCACAAGGUUUUUCUCAAAAACCUUACAUUUGAUCCCUCUAAGCCCUCAAUCGAUCUAUUGUGGAAAAUGGGUGUCAUAAUAAAACUUUUUGACAUUACUGUUAGAAUAGCAAGCCACAGCCUCAUCAUCUGAGUUUACAAUAAAUCCUUCUUCAUUCUCAUCAUCUUCGACAUAAGAAACAAGGAUAAAGGACCACCAAAACUAACUUUGUCCUUUUCUUCUGCGAUUUCUUUCACUUCAAGUUCAUAUGCUUUCAAGAUGUUGUAAAGGUUCGAUAGAGAGUAUGAAUUAAAUUUCUCUUGAGUUUUGAUAAUAAGACAAAUGUUUUCCACUCCUUCCUCAAACCUUGAAUGAAUUUAAUGUUGAAUUCCAGAACUGAUCGAACAAUAUUACACCUUGAAAAUUUGUAAAUUAGGUCGUUGAAUCAAUCAUAGUAGGCUUUAAUUGACUUCGUCUAUUUCUGCUUGAAUUCAGAUAACUCAGAGAGACAUUGGGUUACUGAGCUUUUUUUAGUUUGUUCAUUGCCUUGAAGAUUCUCCUUCAGAAUAUUCCAGAUCUCUUGAGCAGUUUUACAACUCAUGAUAUAGUUGUAAACGACUGGAGGCAUUACACCUCUCAGUUCACGGAUACACCUUUUGUCAUUCACUUCUUUCUUUAAUCGUGUGGCAGUUAUGUUUUCAUUUUGGGCAACUGUACCAACAACUUCAAAUGUAGUUGCACAAAAUGGACAAUCUCUGAUUAGAUGUCACAAAUCUUCAUCGAUUCACUUUAGAUAAUCUUUCAUACGAUCAGCCCAUUGAUCGUAACAUUUUGGAAGCAACAUUAAGGUUUUUGUGGAAGAUCCAAGAAGAUUUGCAAAGUUCAUCAUCAUAUUAACAUUUAAGUUAGCCAUCAAUUUGUGUAGAGAGAAUGAGAAAAUCUAAUUGGAUUGAAAUCAAAUCAGAUUGAUUGAAACUUGAUUGCAAAAUCGUGCAAUCACAAAGUUCGCACGAAGAAAAAAUGCUUCUCAAAUGUCGAAAGUGUUGAAUUCAGAAAGAUUGAAUCAACAGAUGAAAACGUGAAUAAAAUUCUCCAAACGAUUUUAUGAUUCAUGUUCUCUGAUACCACUUGAUGAGUCAUGAAUUCAAUCAAGUUAUGAUUGCUAAAGUAAAUGAACACAUAAUGUAAAUAAUUCGGGCUUAGCUUAAUUAAGAAUGGAAGGCAGCAAGAUUACAGAGUACAAAAGUAAGUUAAAAAAAAAAUCCCUCUUUAUAAACUAUGCUACAACACUAUUUAUAGUGCUAUCAAUAGACCCAAAACAUACAUAGAGACUUCGGCAUUUAAGUACGAAAACAUAAGUGCUAUAUGAAAUAUAUUGAUAUAUUGAAGUUACGUAAACUUCGAUAUAGACAACAAGGCAACCUUCGACAUUAUGACUAUAAGACUUUGAUUGAAUAUCUUCACAACAAUUAUGUAUCAUCACAACAAAACCAAACUCUACACCUACAACAAGAUGAACGGUUUUAGGUAAUUUGCGGUUUUGCUUGAUCCUACCACCAAAUCAUCUUUUUUGUUACAUGCAUUUAAAAAAAUGAUCGGGUUAAAUGGUCUAAGAGGUUGAGAAUAGGAUGAAUAAAAUCACGUUAAAUGGUCUAAGAGGUUGAGAAUAGGAUGAAUAAUUUAUUUAUGACCUACUUGGAAAGAUUUGACAAUAGUGGGUCUUCUCAGCAAGAUGCGAGUCAAAUAGUCAUUGAUUGUGAUGAUGAUAAAGGUUUUUUUUGGCGAUUUUCUUUGUAUAGGAGGCAACAACUCUGAUCCAAUGGAUAAUGAGUUACGAACCUAUUUGAAAGAGAAUACUGUAAAAUAGAAAAAAAGGUUUGUGAAUUUUUGGUUGGUGGAGAGUAAAUGCGAUUAGGUUCCCGACAGUUGCCUGGAUGGCAAAAGGUGAUUACUUUCUUUUUGUCUUUCAUAGUUUCUUUUUAAAUUAAUGUCAUUACAAUUUAAUUCUUUUGUUGUUAUACAUACUGACAAUACAAAUCUCAAGUGUGGUGUCCGAUUCUGCGUUUAACACAUGUGGUAGAGUUGUAAGUGAGUAUCAGACUAGUUUAUCAAUGUUGAUAGUUGAAGCUUUGUUAUGCACCAAGAUUGGGUGAGAACGUCAACAAAUUUGAUAAUUGACAACGUUGACCACAUCUUGAUGGAUGAUGAUAUAACUUUGGGUAAACAAUUUACAAUCUUUGUUCUUUUUUGAUGCAAUUAUUACUUUUUAUUAAAGACUAACAACAUUUUCAUUUUGUAUUUAUGUAGAGAUUGCACAAGCAUUAAACAUAUUAGAUUUAGAUGACAAAGAUAUGUUGAAGAGGUUAAUAGAAGAUUAGAUUANUAUAUAUAUAUUAAAAGAGAAACUUGGUGACAUCACCGUCAACAACCAUUGGAUCAUUUUGAUGAUGUCAUCCUAAAAUAAAAUAAAGUAAAAUUAGUAUUGACGAAAGUUUAAAGUUUCACUAACUGAUUUAAUGUUAACGUCCUUUAUAAAAGGAAUGUAUUCAACUCAUUUAAACUUCAUCAUAAUGUUUGAAAGUUAAUUUGAUUCAUUCCUAAUUAAAAUCACAUUCUUAGUUGCACCUUUCGUAUAUUCUUUCAAUCUUUCAAUUCACAUAUAUUAUAUGAAAUGAAUCUACAAGAUUACAAGAUAUCGUUUCUCAAUUUCAAAGAAUCAAAGAAUUCGAAAUUUGAUAUCCUUUCCAUAAUCAUUGUUGAAAGUUACGUAUAAAUCAUGUGUUGCUGUUCGUACAUUAUGUUUUCUUCAGACCGUUUGCAGCAUCAUGUUCGAACAACAUCACCCUUUGCAACAUCACGCUCGUCAUCCACGUUUCUUCUUUCAUAUGAUGUUCUUAAUUUUUAUUAAUUAUAUUCGAUUUUUUUGAUUCUCAUUAGUGUUGUAUUUGAUUGUGAUCUUUGAAUGCAUGAAUAAUCUUGAUUAUAAAUUGUUAGCAUUAUUUUUUCAAUCAUUUACUUUUGUCUUUUUAACCUUGAAUUUUAUGUUGCACUCUACAUGUUUGAUAAAAUGUCCAUGUGAAAAGCAUAGUGACUUUUGAUUAACUGUAUGUAUGUAUGUAUGUCUUACGUAAUUAAAUUUUUCUGAGAUUGUUUGGAUUACACGGUAGUUGAUGAUUGAAAACUACCAUUUACCCUUCAGUGUUUUUAAUUAUCAAUAUUAUACUUGAUUAAUUUCAACAAUUAGUGCCACUAUUGUGUUUCCUUGAUUAAUUUCAACAUUGGAUCAUUUUGAUGAUGUCAUCCUAAUAAAAAUAAUAUUGAUUAAAUUUGAAAGCUUGACUAACUGAUUCAAUGUUAACGUUACUUAUAAAAGGAAUAUAUUUAAAUCAUUUAAACCUCAUCAUAAUUUUUGAAAGUAAAGUUUGUUCCUUCCAAAUUAAAAUCACGUUCUUAGCUGACACCUUUCUAUAUUCUUUCAAUUCACAUCUAUUAUAUGAAACGUAUCUACAAGAUUAUAGUAUAUGGUCGCUAAAUUUCAAAGACUCAAAGAAUUCGAAAUUUGAUACCCUUUCCGUAAUCAUUGUUGAAAGUUAUGUAUAAAUCAUGUGUUGUUCGUACAUUAUAUUUUUUAGACCCUUUGCAGCAUCACGUUCGAACAUCAUCACCCUUUACAACACGUUCGUCAUCCAUAUUCCUUCUUUAAUAUGAUGUUCUUAAUUUUUAUUAACUGCAUUCGAUUUUUUGAUUCUCAUUAGUGUUGUAUUUGAUUGUGAUUUUUGAAUGCAUGAUAAUCUUGAUUAUAAAUAUUAGUAUUAGUUUUUCAAUCUUUUAUUUUUGUCUUUUUAACCUUGCAUUUGGUGUUUCACUCUACAUGUUUGAUAAAAUGCCCAUGAGAAAAGCCCAACGACUUUUGAUUAACUGUAUGUAUGUCUUAUGUAAUUAAAAUUUUCUGAUAUUGUUAUGAUUGCACAGUAGUUGAUGAUUAAAAACUACCAUUUACCCUUCAGUGUUUUUAAUUAUCAAUAUUAUACUGCUAUUAAUUUGACAUAUUUGCCCAUAAUUCUUGGUUUUUAACAACUUUAGUUAAAAGCAAUAUAUUUUGACUUUAAUCUAUAAUCUUUUGAAUUGUAAUCUCUAAAUUUGUUUUGAGUUGUUGUACUGUGUUCAGUCGAUACAAAGUGCAUUGUAAUUUCUAUUUUGUUUUUAGCAUAUUUAGUUAAUAGCAAUGUGCGUAUGUGGUUUUUUAUUUAAAAAGCCAAAGGUCUUACUUCAUCAUUUUUCGCUAAUUUGUCCCCGUCUUUGAAAUGUCAUAUCUCAAUCAUGGGAAACCGCAAACCCUAUAACAAUAUAAUUAAGUAACGUUAUUAAAUAAUUGAAAAAUAUAGAAUAAUGACAAGUGAAAAUUAGUUAAUUCAAAAAUAUCAAAAAUUGUCAUGUGGCAAAAUGAACGAGAAAAUGAUAUCUGGCAAAAUGAUUCUUAUUUAUCAGGAAAGAUUUUUUUAUGUUGCUUUAUCUUAUUUUUUUAUUGUGUCGGGUUUUUAUAACUUUAUAUGUAUUAUUUUUAUAUGUUCCACCAAGUUUAAAAUUUGUAUUUUGACGACUUACGGGCUUCCUUUAUCAAAUUCAAACUUUCCAAAAUCGGAUUCCGAUCGUAACCUACCAAUUUAAUCGUCAUUAAUUUGAUGUAUAAUUUCACCCAAUUUAAAUUUAUGUUUUCCUUAUAUAACUUUUUUUAAUGAUCCCGAUUUUCCAUCCAAAAAUAUUUCAAGCAUUUCUAUUUUACACGUUUAUUUAUCAAAUUUAAAUUUGUAUUUUCCUUAUAUCCAUAAAAAAAUAUAUUUUGAUAACUUACACAUUUUCUUUAUCAAAUUUAAACUUUCCAAAAUCAGAUUCAAUUGUAACCUACCAGUUUAAUCGUCAUUAAUUUCAUCUGUAUCAGGAGAAAUGUCAAGUUUUGAUUUGUGUAAAACUAUGACUUGUGUGAAGUUAUGACAACAGCUUUAUGACAUGCAAAAUUUUCUGUCAUAAAGGCUCUAUUUGCAUAUAUUCUUAGUGAACUUACUUAUAUCAAAAUUUCAUAAAUAACCCCUUAACAAUUCGCAAAUAGUCAUUUAUGGAACAAAAAGUUCAAAUUUCGAAAUUCUAGACUUAGUGUCAACAAUUCAAGGUCUAUUUCUGCAACUUUUAUCUCUAGUUAUGAAAAGCAUGGAUAAAGGGUACAUGUUGAACACCCCCAAAAACUUGGGAGGAUCAUUUUGUAAAUUGUAUUGUUCAUGUAGUGAUUAAAUAUUAUUAAUUUUCAUGGGUUCUGUGAAACCUCAGGUUCACAGAGAGUUAUAUAAAAAAAUGAUAAUAUUUCAACACACAUAUCAAACACACGUAUACAUGCAAUCAUUCAAGAAUUUAGAACAAGAGGUGGCUUGUACUCUCCCUCAAAAUCAAUAAAAACUUAGGAAAAAGGUGGGGUAUGAAGCUCACCUUGGUUUAGUUUGCUGGAGAUUUGAAGAGGUGUAAGGAGUUUCCAAGUUCCAGCACUUGGAAGUGUUCUUUGAACUUUAGAAAAUCCUAAGAAUAAUUCUAUGUGUAAAUAUAAGGAAGUCUUAGGAAUAAUAUGAAGAAUCACUAGUAAAAGAGGAUGAACACUUACAAAAAUUCUAGAAAUUUUCCUUGAAGGAAUGAAGCUUGAGUGUUGAAGGAGUUUGAGAGAAUUCUUAGGAGUUAUCAAAAUAAAGAAUAAUUUAUUUACUAAGAGGUGUAUUGCCUCCAGUUGCCCGGAUGAAUAAUUUAUUUAUGAUUAGGUACAUGGAAUUGCCAUUGACCCCGACGAAUAUAGACAUAAAAUCACGUUAAAUGGUCUGAGUGGUUGAGAAUAGGAUGAAUAAUUUAUUUAUGAGCUACUUGGAAAGAUUUGACAAUAGUGGGUCUUCUCAACAAGAUGCGAGUCAAAUAGUCAUUGAUUGUGAUGAUGAUAAAGGUUUUUUUUGGCGAUUUUCAUUAUGGGCGGUAGCAAUUCUGAUCCAAUGGAUAAUGAGUUACGAACCUAUUUGAAAGAGAAUAUAGUGAAAUAAAAAGAAAGAUUUUUGAAUUCUCAGUUGGUGGAGAGUAAAUGGGAUUAGGUUCCCGAUAGUUGCCCGGAUGGCAAAAGGUGAUUAAUUUCUUUUUGUCUUUCAUAAUUUCUUUUUAAACUAAUGCCGUUACAAUUUAAUUCUUUUGUUGUUAUACAUACUGGCAAUACAAAUCUCAAGUGUGGCGUCUGAGUCUGCGUUUAGCACACAUGUGGUAGAGUUGUAAGUGAGUAUCAGACUAGUUUGUCAAUGUUGAUAGUUGAAGCUUUGUUAUGCACCAAGAUUGGGUGAGAAAGUCUACAAAUUCGAUAAUUGACAAUGUUCACCACAUCUUGAUGGAUGAUGAUAUAACUUUGGGUAAACAAUUUACAAUCAUUGUUUUUUUUUAUACAAUCAUUACUUUUUAUUAAAGACUAACAACAUUUUCAUUUUGAAUUUAUGUAGAGAUUGCACAAGCAUUAAACAUAUUAGAUUUAGAUGACAAAGAUAUGUUGAAGAGGUUAAUAGAAGAUUAGAUUAUGACGUUUGUUAGUUGGAUUGAUUUUAAAGUUUAAACCAUGAUUUUUGGUGUUACGGUAAUUACUUUUAUGUGAUUUAAGAAUCUUAACUUUUGAUGGUUAACUUGAUUUAUAUGUUACUUGUUUUUAUUUGGAAAAGUAAUUUUGCAAACAUUUUUCUUAAAAUCACAUUCAUUUGAACNNNNNNNNNNNNNNNNNNNNNNUUAACUAAUACAACUCAAAAAUCUUCUUAAUAAUUAUUUAACACUCGAGGUUUUAUAACUUAUAUUAUGUUUAAUAAACACUUAACGAAACAUUUGCUAUAAAAAUGUCAAUCUUUUGGAUAAACAUGCAUACAAAUCACAUACAAACCGCACAAAGAAAACAAACUUAAAGGUUUUUGCGUUGGUUUGAGGUCUGAUGAACACUUUUCGAGAUAUGUUAUAGUUGUUAAUUCGUAAGUUUGUUAUAUACUAAUUAUUUUUUAUAUUUUUCUUGGUUUUUGGAUUCUUUUAAUACAAUCAUUGUAUGUUGUUGUUUAAUCGUUAAUAUAUAUUAUAUCAAAUACAUGUUAUCGAACAUAUGUCGUAUACUGUGAUGUAGAUAAUAUUUAAUUAGAUAUGUUAAAUAUGAUUGUUUGUUUGGACUGCUUUAAUAAAAAAAACUAAUUAAAAUUCAUGAAUAUGUAACAUUUUCCAUGUAAGUAUGAAAGAAAUAUUUUUCUUUUCACCACAUGUAUUUGAAACUCCCAUUACUUUUCAACUUCUUUCUAAUAACGAUUAAGUUAACAUAUUUUACUUCUACGUAUAAAAUUAUGUCUUCAACUUUUAACAUAUUAUAUUUAAGUUAUUAGUUUUGAUAUAUUGUUGUAUGUGAAGAACCGUCAGUUUAAAUUCAAAACUUUUAAAUAGUUUGUAUAUAAUACUUAAAUUGUUAAUUUAAAUAUAUUAUUAAAAUGUUAUCUUGGAUAGAAUUUUCACUUAAACUUGUAGAAAAUCCAACGACUAUUUUGUAAAUAGUGAGUAUAAGUUAUAAAUUAGAGUGUUAAAUGUAAAACCUAAAUUGUAAUCCAAAAUUAACUAAAAUAUUUUGUAAAACUAUUUUCAUAAACAUUAUAAUUUCAAAACAAGCAACUUACAAAUAACUUACAACAAUAAUAGCUAAAAGUAAAAAUAUAUAAAAGAUUAUAUUGUUAAAUUUAAAAACAAAUUUUUUUGAUGUUUUAGAUAACUCUAAUAGUAGACGAUUGAUAUAUAUAUNUAUAUAUAUAAUUCAAAAUAAUCAAUAUUCUAUUUUAAACUAGUACAAGAAUUAUUAUAUCAAAGUUCAAAACACCAUUUUUAAUAUAUAAACAACAUAUAUCUAAAAAUUCAUAGUUGUAUAGUUGUUUUCUAUGCAAUGCUCAUACUAACCUACUUAUAGAUAAAGUGUAAUUAGUUAUCCAUAUCAAAUAUAAUAAAGCCAUUAACUUAUUGGAUUCAAAGUUUAAAUAAAUAAUAUAAACAAAAGUUUGACGAAUAUACCCCUGCACCUAAUAAAAAGUUAAGGUUUCGUUGAUAUAUUGCGACACAGACCAAAAGAAACACACAGCACGCCUCCAUUCUUCAAUAGUCCGCUCCUCAAGCGAUUCCCGAUUGCUUGCCGCCCUAUUACGACGAUUUCCAUCGCCGUCGCACUCCACAGAUUCUCUUCAGGUUCGAUAUUCUUCAAUCUUUUCCUGCUUUCGUUCAAUUGCAUUUGCAUUUUGGCUGCUCUCGGUAUAUCUCAUGAUGCAUACUAACAUUUUAUUUGCCUAUUUAUUUUAUUUUAAUCAACUUUAACGUUUCAAAUACUUGGGUAUUCAGUUAUUAGCUUGUUUGUUGUUGGUAUAUAGCUGUUUGAAAGCAGAAUGCUAAAAAGAGAGACUACAGUUAUUGAUUUCUGUUACAAUUGAAUUAUUGUUUUUAUGAUUGCAAUGCACGGGGUAAUUAGCAUAUUAUAGAUUGAGAAUUUAAGUGAUCUUGUAUUAGUUUGACUUGAAGAAUGUAGUUGUAUUUUGAGUUUAUAUUAAUGUUACUAUUUUUAUUGUUAUGUUUUAUAAUUGUUUUUGUUGAUGUUAUUGAUUGAUAUAGAUAUAGGUAGAAGAUUAAAUAAUGAGUGGAAUAAGGUUGGUGAUAUCAAAACCUUGGUGUAUGGUGUAUAAUCCUUGUACAAGUAACAAGAGUAAUUUUAAGAUCCAUUUUGGUACAAAACCAAACAACAAGAUAUGUCGUUUAUCAAAUUCAAACUUAAGAAUUUCUUCUCCUGUUGCAACCAAUCACAUGUUGAAACAUCGUGUAUAUUCAUCAUCAUCAUCAUAUGCACGUAAAGAUGUAACCGAUUCAACAUCUCAACCACCUUAUGGCUUGUGUGGCCUUGUUGCUAUUAUUGCUUUGGCUUUACCUAAAGCCUGGGAGGUCGCUAUGCAUUUUAUUUCUGCUA
rnacentral:lncRNA from 1 species